rnacentral:rRNA from 1 species
UACGGGGGGGAGCAAGCGUUGUUCGGAUUUACUGGGCGUAAAGGGCGCGUAGGCGGUCAGCACAAGUCAGUUGUGAAAUCUCCGGGCUUAACUCGGAAAGGUCAACUGAUACUGUGCGACUAGAGUGCAGAAGGGGCAACUGGAAUUCUCGGUGUAGCGGUGAAAUGCGUAGAUAUCGAGAGGAACACCUGCGGCGAAAGCGGCGCACUGGACCAUAACUGACGCUGAGGCGCGAAAGCUAGGGGAGCAAACAGG